rnacentral:lncRNA from 1 species
GCCUCUGUCCAUUUUUCCUGUAGGUCCUGAAAUCCCGCUUGUCUUUCUGAGGAAUUGGUGAUUGGCUGCGCAUUCUGUGGUGUUUUGGGAUAAUGGGGAUUGAUAUUCAUCAGCAGUCUGACGUGGGAAUUGGUAACGAGCUCCCAAAAGAAGAGGCUUGUUGGAGAUGUGUAAUGAUAACGUUCCUGCACAGCUGCUUUUGUGAGGGGGGAUAAUUUGGCAGCCCUGGAGCUGCUGUUGGCUCUGCGGUUGGUGGAGAAAUGAUGGAGUGGACGUUCCCCCAGAGCUGCUCUGGGGUGAGCUGGUGCCAUUGCACUGCGCUGCCUCCACCAAAAAAGAAAUUAUUUGAUUUUCCUUAAACCUUUAGGAAAAGGAAUUCAUGCUCAAAUGGCCUUAGCUUUCAUUUUCUCCCACAAAUAAUGUUGGAUCCCAUGUGAUAAUUUAUCCACAGAAACACUUUUUUAUCCUGCCCUACUCCUAACGAGCAAUUUCUGCAGACAGAAAAUCCUUAAAUGUGGAAAGGCCAGAGGCUGGUACAAGCUAAACAGAGGAAGAUAAAAUCAAAUACAAAACCACAGUGUGGCAAGAUAAGAGGCAACAGAGCCUCAGAACAAAAUAUUUAGAUAAGGAUUAUUUGGGACACUGCAGGGAAGGGAUUGGAAGUUGAGGGCUCUGCUUUUCCUUGCCACAUUCCUCAUCCUCCCCAUCCCUCUCCAGCCUCUCCCUUUGGUUUUUGUCCUUGGGGCUGCUCAGAAGUUGUCACUGAGCGAGGACAGAGCUGCAGAGCCACCAUGGAGAGGAACCUGGCCUGGCUGGUUUGGAAUAAGAACAAUUCCCUGGCCCUGCUUUCCUGCAGAGGGGGAACUGUGGGCCGUGCAAUCUCAGCGCAGUCACUGAGGGAGGCUGGAGCCCAGCCCUUGGGUAAAACCAAACCAGUGGUUUUAUCUUUAAUGGAGAUAACAGCUGGAAGUGCUGUCAGCAGGAAUGGCAGGAAUGCUGCCCACAGGAGCCGGGGGACCUGUGGGAAGAGAAAAUGA